UGGGGAAUCUUGCGCAAAGGAGGGAACUCUGACGCAGCGACGUCGCGUGAGCGAAGAAGGUCUUCGGAUCGUAAAGCUCUGUCUUUGGGGACGAAGGAAGUGAGGGUACCCAAGGAGGAAGCCCCGGCUAACUAC
rnacentral:rRNA from 1 species